rnacentral:rRNA from 1 species
CGGGGAGGUAGUGACGAAAAAUAACGAUACGGGACUCAUCCGAGGCCCCGUAAUCGGAAUGAGUACACUUUAAAUCCUUUAACGAGGAUCAAUUGGAGGGCAAGUCUGGUGCCAGCAGCCGCGGUAAUUCCAGCUCCAAUAGCGUAUAUUAAAGUUGUUGCGGUUAAAAAGCUCGUAGUUGAAUCUGUGUGUCACAGUGUCGGUUCACCGCUCGCGGUGUCUAACUGGCAUUAUGUGAUACGUCCUACCGGUGGGCUUAGCUCCUCACGGGGCGGUCCAACAGACAUCCCAUCGCGGUGCUCUUCACUGAGUGUCGAGGUGGGCCGGUACGUUUACUUUGAAUAAAUUAGAGUGCUUAAAGCAGGCUAUUUUCGCCUGAAUACUAUGUGCAUGGAAUAAUGGAAUAGGACCUCGGUUCUAUUUUGUUGGUUUCCGGAACCCCGAGGUAAUGAUUAAUAGGGACAGAUGGGGGCAUUCGUAUUGCGACGUUAGAGGUGAAAUUCUUGGAUCGUCGCAAGACGGACUAAAGCGAAAGCAUUUGCCAAAAAUGUUUUCAUUAAUCAAGAACGAAAGUUAGAGGUUCGAAGGCGAUCAGAUACCGCCCUAGUUCUAACCAUAAACGAUGCCAACCAGCGAUCCGCCGAUGUUCCUCCGAUGACUCGGCGGGCAGCUUCCGGGAAACCAAAGUUUUUGGGUUCCGGGGGAAGUAUGGUUGCAAAGCUGAAACUUAAAGGAAUUGACGGAAGGGCACCACCAGGAGUGGAGCCUGCGGCUUAAUUUGACUC